UACGGGGGGGGCAAGCGUUGUUCGGAAUUACUGGGCGUAAAGGGCUCGUAGGCGGCCAACUAAGUCAGACGUGAAAUCCCUCGGCUUAACCGGGGAACUGCAUCUGAUACUGGAUGGCUUGAGAUUGGGAGAGGGAUGCGGAAUUCCAGGUGUAGCGGUGAAAUGCGUAGAUAUCAGGAGGAACACCGGUGGCGAAGGCGGAUCUCUGGGCCUUACCUGACGCUGAGGCGCGAAAGCUAGGGGAGCGAACAGG
rnacentral:rRNA from 1 species